AGCUUUGCACAGUGGCUGUAUUGCAACUUACUAGGUUUAACCAAGGUUCAAUUAUUGCUAAUUGAAAAGCAAAAACUAUACUCCCUGACCUCCCCAAUCAGGGUAUGAGUUCUUUGGGGUAGUAAUUCCUAUGUCCUCAUA